GUAGAUCACUACUUCUAGUCUACUUUUGGCUAAUAAUGAAGGUCUUACGAAUCAUGGCUGUUGUUGGCGUAUCUUUAUUGUUUGUUGCUAACGCAAAGCAAAGAUGGCACAAUUUGCAUAAAGGCCUACCAUAUCCCAUACUAGGACCGACCAUUUAAAGUGAAACCUCGCAAUAAAGUUCCUUUGUAAUGCUGUCUACGUCGAGAAUCUUUAAAAUCCAUCGUAAGAUAUCUUAUAAGGUGUAAUAUGCGUUGACGUCUUCGGGAUCCAAGGAUAUUGGCUGAUUUUCUUAUCUGCCAAGCCAGGAAGGGUCAAUAUGGUCAAGAUAAUAACUGCAACAUUAAGAACAAUUAAUAUACUAUAAAAUAAAUGUAGUAAUGUUGUACA
rnacentral:sRNA from 13 species